AUUGAACGCUGGCGGCAGGCCUAACACAUGCAAGUCGAGCGAGCGGCGGACGGGUGAGUAAUGUCUGGGAAACUGCCUGAUGGCGGGGGAUAACUACUGGAAACGGUAGCUAAUACCGCAUACCAUCAGAUGUGCCCAGAUGGGAUUAGCUAGUAGGUGGGGUAACUGCUCACCUAGGCGACGAUCCCUAGCUGUUCUGAGAGGAUGAUCAGCAAAACUGGAACUGAGACACGCUCCAGAAUCCUACGGGAGGCAGCAGUGGGGAAUAUUAGACAAGGGGGGUAAGCCUGAUGCAGCCAUGCCGGUUGUGUGAAGAAGGCCUUGGGGUUGUAAAGCACUUUCAGCGGGGAGGCGUUACCCGCAGAAGAAGCACGGGCUAACUCCGUGCCAGCAGCCGCGGUAAUAC
rnacentral:rRNA from 1 species